rnacentral:rRNA from 1 species
AGGGUUCGAUUCUGGCUCAGGAUGAACGCUGGCGGCGUGCCUAACACAUGCAAGUCGAGCGAUUACUUCGGUAAAGAGCGGCGGACGGGUGAGUAACGCGUGGGUAACCUGCCUCAUACACAUGGAUAACAUACCGAAAGGUAUGCUAAUACAGGAUAAUAUAAGAGAUUCACAUGGAUUUCUUAUCAAAGCUCCGGCGGUAUGAGAUGGACCCGCGUCUGAUUAGCUAGUUGGUAAGGUAAUGGCUUACCAAGGCGACGAUCAGUAGCCGACCUGAGAGGGUGAUCGGCCACAUUGGAACUGAGACACGGUCCAAACUCCUACGGGAGGCAGCAGUGGGGAAUAUUGCACAAUGGGCGAAAGCCUGGUGCAGCAACGCCGCGUGAGUGAUGAAGGCCUUCGGGUCGUAAAACUCUGUCCUCAAGGAAGAUAAUGACGGUACUUGAGGAGGAAGCCCCGGCUAACUACGUGCCAGCCGCCGC